AUACUUGCCUGAUUCGCUGAUUACAAAUCUCAACUUAGGUUUUAUCUCUUUAUCACAACCUAUCAAUAAUCAGAUCAUUCGUUCGAUUAGAACAAUAUAUCUUAACACAUAGUACUGUCUAUUACAGUCAGCACAUAGUCUAAUCAUAUAAUCACAGUGAUCAUACUUUUAGUUCAUAUUCUAUACUUGAAAUAUUUUUAUACAUUUUUCAAAUAUCCCAUCC
rnacentral:lncRNA from 1 species